UACAGAGGGUGCAAGCGUUAAUCGGAAUUGCUGGGCGUAAAGCGCGCGUAGGUGGUUUGUUAAGUUGGAUGUGAAAUCCCCGGGCUCAACCUGGGAACUGCAUCCAAAACUGGCAAGCUAGAGUAUGGUAGAGGGUGGUGGAAUUUCCUGUGUAGCGGUGAAAUGCGUAGAUAUAGGAAGGAACACCAGUGGCGAAGGCGACCACCUGGACUGAUACUGACACUGAGGUGCGAAAGCGUGGGGAGCAAACAGG
rnacentral:rRNA from 1 species